rnacentral:lncRNA from 1 species
AAGUUAGCUUGGGACUACUGGAAAAAGAAGACUUGGCAGCGCGGAAUGUGGGGGGCCCUGUGAGCUGUGCCCCCCAACCCCGUCUGCCCAGCCCAGCCGCAGCCCCAAUUCUCGCCUUGGGCGGGCGGCUGGGCGGGUCUGAGGCCCCUGGGACUCAUCUGCACGGUGCAAACAGCUGCUUUGGCAACUGAAAUUAAAGAUCAACUGGGAAGUAAACACAGAGGACCCGCGGAGGUAGCGCUGACGGAAUCCCGGAGCUCACCUGCUACCAGAGAAGCAAAUGUGGAAAGUGUGGAACAGUCCCCACACAGGGUCCUCCUGGCACAAACCCGCAAUGUGCAAUGCCAGGGGCCAGCGGCACACGCAGUCCCAUUGCGACUCGCAGGAGAAGCAAAUGUGGAAAGUGUGGAACAGUCACCGCACAGGGUCCUCCUGGGACACACGCAGAAUGCGCAAUGCCAGGUGCCGGCGGCACACACAGUCCCAUUGCAGCUCGUGGGAGGUACCGCUCCCACCCCAAGGGUAACUGUUCUCCAGGCAGCAGCCCUGGCUUUGGGG